rfam:Lodderomyces elongisporus NRRL YB-4239 supercont1.2 genomic scaffold, whole genome shotgun sequence.
GCCUGGCUAGCUCAAUCGGCUAGAGCAUCUGACUCUUAAUCAGAAGGUUGCGGGUUCGAGUCCCGCGUUGGGCU